CAUUUAUAAACGUUGGAUGCAAUUAAAAAAAUCCAGACCGACAAUGAGUGCAGUAAUGACACUUUUCAUUGCCACCAUAAUAAUGUUUUACGUGGCGCAAGAUUACAACCAGUGGAUCCCCUAUUCGGGCGCUGGGGGCGGCGCCGGCGGCGGCGUCGGGGGCGGUAUCGGAUUCGGGUUUAAUGCAGGUGCCGGUGCUGGAUACGGGAUUGGGGCAAGAGGCGGUGAACAAACAUAAUGUAAUAUAAAACGGAAAUGGAAAAAAUGUAUUAAAUAAAAUCACACUUCCGCAUUGUGUGCAAUUUGUUUAUUUUACGACCAAUUUGUUUUAUUGUUAACUGUUUGUAUAAAAUCGGCGAAAAUGUGGCGGUUUGGAAGUGUUUUUAAAAGUGUGAUAGACGAUGAAGGUGCUUCUAGUCGUAAUUUUAGCGUUUUUUGUUCUUAGUUGUACUGCAUUUCCGCACCUUGAUCUUGAAAAUAGAAGGGCGGUAAUGGCUCGUAUGAGUCAGGCUAUGAAAAAAGGCGCUAGUUGUUUUGGUUUUACGAUAAACGUUUCGUUCUCAACUGCUGCUCCAGCAACCACUGCCGCAAGCGGUUAAUAAAAAGAACUAAAAAAAGCUACCAUAUAUGAUAAUAAGUCUUUUUUUUGAUAGUUUGUGAUUCAUCUUUAAAAAGCUGAAAAUUGUAGAAAAUUUGUUUUCCCAAUUUUUUAUUAUUAUUUUGUUAUGGAAUCAGAUUUUUGAACAAAACUGUCUUAUCACUAUAGUUUAAAUAAAGAAAACUUAAAAAAUAGUGAA